UACGUAGGGUGCGAGCGUUAAUCGGAAUUACUGGGCGUAAAGCGUGCGCAGGCGGUUCGUUGUGUCGGUGGUGAAAGCCCCGGGCUUAACCUGGGAAUGGCCAUGGAAACUGGCGAACUGGAGUGUGGCAGAGGGGGGUGGAAUUCCGCGUGUAGCAGUGAAAUGCGUAGAGAUGCGGAGGAACACCGGUGGCGAAGGCAGCCCCCUGGGCUAGCACUGACGCUCAGGCACGAAAGCGUGGGGAGCAAACAGG
rnacentral:rRNA from 1 species